UACAGAGGUCCCAAGCGUUGUUCGGAUUCAUUGGGCGUAAAGGGUGCGUAGGCGGCGCGGUAAGUCGGGUGUGAAAUCUCGGAGCUUAACUCCGAAACUGCAUUCGAUACUGCCGUGCUUGAGGACUGGAGAGGAGACUGGAAUUUACGGUGUAGCAGUGAAAUGCGUAGAUAUCGAGAGGGACACCAGUGGCGAAGGCGAGUCCCUGGACAUCUCCUGACACUGAGGCACGAAAGCUAGGGGAGCAAACAGG
rnacentral:rRNA from 1 species